rnacentral:rRNA from 1 species
AUUGAGCGCUGGCGGAAGGAAGAAAAAAGGAAAGUAGAGCGGAUGAAGGGAGCUUGCUUCUGGAUUAAGUGGAGGAAGGGUGAGUAAUGCCUAGUAAUCUGAUUGGUAGUGGGGUAUAACGUCCGGAAACGGGCGCUAAUACCGCAUACGUCCUUAUGUAGAAAGUGGGGGAUCUUCGGACCUCACGCUAUCAUAUGAGCCUAGGUCGGAUUAGCUAGUUGGUGGGGUCAAGGCCUACCAAGGCGACGAUCCGUAACUGGUCUGAGAGGAUGAUCAGUCACACUGGAACUGAGACACGGUCCAGAAUCCUACGGGAGGAAGCAGUGGGGAAUAUUGGACAAUGGGCGAAAGCCUGAUCAAGCAAUGCCGCGUGUGUGAAGAAGGGAGUCGGAUUGUAAAGCACUUUAAGUUGGGAGGAAGGGAAGGAAGUUAAUACCUUGCUGUUUUGACGUUACCAACAGAAUAAGCACCGGCUAACUUCGUC